GUACUCCUGAAUUUUUUAUUGAGUUUUACCAUCAGCAGGGUUUCCUUCACUUCUACAUUUUGUUCUUUUCAGUUGAAAAAAAUGUCUUUCUAAAUUUGCAUAUGGCUGCUGAACCUCACCAACAGUAAGCUGUGCCCAUGGUUCUCGAAGAAGAACACUUUGCAUUUAGGUAGCAUUCUCUGGAGCCUGUCAGCUUCAGAUUUGCUUGGAAGUAAUCUGUCAGCACAGCUGAAUGCAAACAUACCAAAGUACGUUUUCGAUCAUCAUAACAGAAAUGUAGUUAUCGAGAUCCAACAGAAGCAAAAUACUCAUGUUGGGAUAGCUUGACUGAAACUAUGUCCAAGAACGGUGAAAUUGAAAAGGUAGAAAACCAGAGAUAAAUGGGUUGCUUAAGGUAGCAAGAAACCUGACUAGCAGUAGCACUUCAGCUGAAACUGAUUCUAGACGGCAAUUAGCAUAUGAAGCAGCCUGUUGGAUCAGCUUCAUUUUCCAUCCUAGAGUGUCCUCCGGUAUUUUAUUUAGUAUGUUCUACAGUGAAAUUAUAGAAUUUGAAAGCCACAUUAAUUAAAUAUAAGCAGAAAAUUAAAUCAUUUCUACUGCUCGUCCCCCUUUCUCCUGGCUUGAUAAAAUGGGACAUAGUAGCGGGACGCACAAAAAAGAACGGUACAUACCGAAUGCUUCAGGAAUGAUGAUAUAUUACUUGUUAAUCUGUUUAGUGCUUCUAAAGGAUGUCUUCCACUUUUCAUGCUACUCAAUGCCAUGUCAACUUCAUUGUCUGCCCUCAUGAUCAGGAAGAACAGAAGAAGCGGAUGCAGAGUUAUUAAACAGGAAAUGUGACAACUUAUGGCAAAGUACAGAAAUUAAAUGAUGAAAACUGGAAAGCAGUCCUGUAGUUAUCAGUUCAGAAGAGAUGUAAUUGCAAUCCGUGCACGAUCCGACAACGGGCUGGAAACCGACAGGAGCUGUUUUAUGUCUGAUUUCUCAAAUGAUGUUGCUUUUCCAGGGAAAAAAGGAAAAUAAAGUUAGGUAUCACAAAUUUUAUUCAUGCAACAGCAGAUUUAUUUGGAGAUAUACCUGGAUUAACCAGUACCAACACCAAAUCGAUGCAAGGAUUACGAGCAGCUACUGCAAGUGCUAUGCAUCCUCCAAAAGAAGUCCCCAAAAGGUAGAUGGGCUUAUUAGGUGAAGUGGCAUGCUCUGCUCUCACAACAUCCUCUACCAUUUCAACAAGUUCUGAAAAUGAAAAACAGCUAAAACCAUGCAAUCUGAGAACUUCACAUUAUCUGUUAUUCGCUCUAAAUAAUGAAAUAAGUUUAAAAAUUCAUGUAUGGAUGGAAAUACUUCAAACAGAAAUUAAUUCACAGAUAUGUUGAUACCUUCAAAUGGCGUGCGGUCGUGGAAGGGAAUGUGCAUACAUCUUAGUUCAAAAAUCCUGUGAAUUCAAAGACAACUUGUCUAGUAUUAUUACGGAAGUCGUAAAAAUUGAACCCAUGUAGUAUCAUUGUAAUCUAAAUUGCCUAUAAUCAACUCCUAUAAAAUUGUGAGCUCUCAUCAUAUUCUAAGAGAAGGCCUGAUAAAAAUUGCAGACAAGUGAAAGUAUCUAGAAGUGAUCUCACCUUCCAAGUGCCUUGUGGUGCAUGAAGAGCCCCAUCCCCAUACCAUCUACCCCUGAAAAGUUUCCAAUCCAAAUCAAAUCAAAUAAAGGCUAAGCUGCAGGACAAAACUAUUGAGGAUUCUACAACACAAACAUUCGGUAUAACUGUACCGGGUAAAUACAGCAUGAGUGGAGCAUCCUCAAUGGGUGAGCCGGCAUCAACGGGACAGAACAAGCGUGGCGGUCCACUGUCAUGUUCUACCAGCUCUCCAAGUGAUCUGUAGUAAUAAUCCAGAUCCUUAGCCUUCUGGUACCCAUCGUCGUAAAGCGUUUCAAGCCCCUUGUAGCUCACUUGCAAUCUCCAGCCUGCAUGCUUGAACUGAUGGCAGCUGCUGAUCCUCUCAAACAAGUCGUGUCGUCGUCGUCGCUGUCGCCACAGAGCUAUCUGGGAGUGGAGAGGAAGAGAAAGAGUAGCCAUUGCUGUGAAGCUACAAAGCUCUCAUUGAGGUAUGUAUGUUCAUGGUCUUUUUUCCAAUACCUCUGAUGGAGUUAUGCAGAGAAGCAUCUGCAGCUGUGUGUAACAGAAAUAACUGAACUGAAUUGAGGCGCAAAGUGUGUGAGUGUGACCAUUGCAUGACAGCUCACAGGUUUGGCUAAAGUAGUGAACGUGUGACUAGAUGAUAAUUGUUGUAUCAUGAACAGUUAUGCUUAGGUUGUUAUAGUAGUAGUUGGCGUUUUCUUGUUCUUUCGUGUGGAAACACACCAACACUUUGAUCACACGAUAACUAUGUUGUUGGUUUUCUUGUUAAAAGUACUCAUAUUUUCUGUUGGCA